UUGAAAUUAGUGUGUUGGCUUGUCAUAUUUAUUGCAUGUAUCAUAUUACAGGAGCAGUUUGCAUGGGUCAUCUCAUUUAAUCCUUGCAACAAUCCUCUCAGCUGUUUAUCAUGCAGGUUCUGAUUUUGAAGAUGCAGAAUUUCAAAACGAUGAAGGAGUUGGCCCAAUGUCAUGCAGAAAGAAUGAAAAGUAACAUUGAGUGAAGUCCAGAUCUUAGCCCCAGAGACAUCUCCUGGUUCUUACCUUCUCCAUCAGAGCUGAGGCUGAACUAUCAAGGAUGCCUGGACUGAAAGUGAAAAUGUCUUCAGCUGGAACCUUGCUGGCCAAGACACGGACACCACAGAGAAUCAUCACAAAAAUAAUGAAAAUUGUAAUUGGAUUGGACUACCCCUAAGUCCAAAAACUUUGUCAGGCCUUAAAUCCAUGAGGUUAGUGCAAAACUAAAUGACAAAUCAAGUCCUUUGCCUCAAGGAACACACACACUUUCUUUGCUAGAAACUUUGGAAUAUUAAGCCCACUUAGCACUCUUCUUCUAAGAAGUGCCUCCCACUGGCGAAGCGAGGUUCAGCAGUCAGCCACGUUGAAAAGGAGGAUAACUGGAGGAGCCAAAAGUUCUCACAUACCUGGGAAAUGGGUAGAACUAUUUCUCCCCGAAAUACACUUCCAUAUGGAGGAGACUUUCCUUGAGUGGAAUUCCAACCA